CAUGCAAGUCGAGCGGAGACAGUGAGUAGCUUGCUAUGAGCUGUUUUAGCGGCGGACGGGUGAGUAACGCGUGAGCAACCUUUCCCAGACAGGGGAAUAACACACCGAAAGGUGUACUAAUACCGCAUAAGACCACGGGAUCACAUGGCUCUGAGGUAAAAGAUUUAUCGGUUUGGGGUGGGCUCGCGUCCGAUUAGGUAGUUGGUGAGGUAACGGCCCACCAAGCCGACGAUCGGUAGCCGACCUGAGAGGGUGAUCGGCCACAUUGGGACUGAGACACGGCCCAAACUCCUACGGGAGGCAGCAGUGGGGAAUAUUGGGCAAUGGAGGAAACUCUGACCCAGCAACGCCGCGUGGAGGAAGAAGGUUUUCGGAUCGUAAACUCCUGUCCUUGGAGACGAGUAGAAGACGGUAUCCAAGGAGGAAGCCCCGGCUAACUACGUGCCAGCAGCCGCGGUAAUGCGUAGGGGGCAAGCGUUGUCCGGAAUAAUUGGGCGUA
rnacentral:rRNA from 1 species